rnacentral:rRNA from 1 species
GACCCUGGCUCAGGAUGAACGCUAGCUACAGGCUUAACACAUGCAAGUCGAGGGGCAGCAUGAACUUAGCUUGCUAAGUUUGAUGGCGACCGGCGCACGGGUGAGUAACACGUAUCCAACCUGCCGAUGACUCGGGGAUAGCCUUUCGAAAGAAAGAUUAAUACCCGAUGGCAUAGUUCUUCCGCAUGGUAGAACUAUUAAAGAAUUUCGGUCAUCGAUGGGGAUGCGUUCCAUUAGGUUG